rnacentral:ncRNA from 2 species
UGAAAUGCUAUGAAGGAGAGAGUAAGUGCGAGGAUCCUUUUAGGGAGCGAAGGUCAAAGACUGUAAGCCUUUGCAGGGAGAAUCCGCCGAAGUUCGCUCUGAAGCAGGGAGAUCGAAGCCUAAUAGGUAGUAAAUCUCCCCGGUUUUCGCCGUUACGGAAUUUGUGAGAGUUUGUAUUUCAAACUAAAAAAGGGUGGUACCACGGAAGGAAACUUUCGUCCCUAGC